rnacentral:rRNA from 1 species
UAACGUAGCGAAAGUUUACGCUAAUACCGCAUAUUCUGUGAGCAGGAAAGCAGGGGAUCGCAAGACCUUGCGCUGAUUGAGCGGCCGAUGUCAGAUUAGCUAGUUGGUGAGGUAAAGGCUCACCAAGGCGACGAUCUGUAGCGGGUCUGAGAGGAUGAUCCGCCACACUGGAACUGAGACACGGUCCAGACUCCUACGGGAGGCAGCAGUGGGGAAUUUUGGACAAUGGGGGCAACCCUGAUCCAGCCAUGCCGCGUGAGUGAAGAAGGCCUUCGGGUUGUAAAGCUCUUUCGGCCGGGAAGAAAUCGCAUGGGUUAAUACCCUGUGCGGAUGACGGUACCGGCAUAAGAAGCACCGGCUAACUACGUG